UUGGGGGGGUGCUUACACAUGCAAGUCGAACGAUGAACCGGUGCUUGCAUCGGGGAUUAGUGGCGAACGGGUGAGUAACACGUGAGUAACCUGCCCUUGACUCUGGGAUAAGCCUGGGAAACUGGGUCUAAUACCGGAUAUGACCUUCCAUCGCAUGGUGGUUGGUGGAAAGCUUUUGUGGUUUUGGAUGGACUCGCGGCCUAUCAGCUUGUUGGUGGGGUAAUGGCCUACCAAGGCGACGACGGGUAGCCGGCCUGAGAGGGUGACCGGCCACACUGGGACUGAGACACGGCCCAGACUCCUACGGGAGGCAGCAGUGGGGAAUAUUGCACAAUGGGCGCAAGCCUGAUGCAGCGACGCCGCGUGAGGGAUGACGGCCUUCGGGUUGUAAACCUCUUUCAGUAGGGAAGAAGCGAAAGUGACGGUACCUGCAGAAGAAGCGCCGGCUAACUACGUGCCAGCAGCCGCGGUAAUACGUAGGGCGCAAGCGUUAUCCGGAAUUAUUGGGCGUAAAGAGCUCGUAGGCGGUUUGUCGCGUCUGCCGUGAAAGUCCGGGGCUCAACUCCGGAUCUGCGGUGGGUACGGGCAGACUAGAGUGAUGUAGGGGAGACUGGAAUUCCUGGUGUNUUGGUGAAAAUGCC
rnacentral:rRNA from 1 species